GAUGGAAGGGAGUUCCAUGCAAUCAUGCCUCUAUAUCAGUGGAGGCUGCUGAGGGGAGGAUGGCUCAUAAUAAUGGCUGGAACGAAGCCAAUGGAAUGGCAUGUACUUGACACCACUCCGCUUAUUCUGCUCCGGCCAUUACCACAAGCCUGCCCACCCCAAUUAAGGGUCCUAGAGGCUUUACGGGAGAGAAUGUCCUCCAGCGGGGAUAGGAGAUGAGGGUUUCACUGGUGAGACAGGUCCAUGGGGAGACAGAGGAAAGACUGGAGAGAAGGGGACUGCUGCAAUUCCAGGUCUGAAGGGGGCUCCAGGUGGCACAGGCUUCAAAGGACUAGAUGAAGACAAAGGAGAUGCUGGAACCAAAGGAGACAGGAGUUCUGUUGGUGUGUCAGGGAUCCAAGGCCAUCAGGGUGAGAGGGUUCAGAUUGGCCUCUCAGGGCUUCCUGGUCUCAGAGGUCAAGCUGGUCCCCAAGGCAUCCAGGGUGAAGACGGAGAGGUCGGCCUCCGAGGAGUGGUUGGAAAGGAAGGGUCAAAGGGCCACAGGGGAGCUCCAGGCCGCAAUGGGAAGUCGGGGCCUAAAGGAAUGAUAUCUUGGUGGGCCGUGGUGGACAGCCUGGUCUUUUUGGUAUACCUGGAAUCCCGGGUUUUAGAGGCCACGUUGGGACUGAGGGAGCAGAAGGAAAGCCUGGAGCACGUAAAUGUCAGACGAGGGGGUUCGUAGGCGGAGCCAGUCAGUGUCCUUGCAAGACACAUUCAGCAUUGCACAACCAAGGAUGCGCUGGGGGUCAUCAACACUGCUUUGGAUUCUCAGGCCUGGGGGGAGAGCCAGGACAAGCAGGUCCCCCAGGCACUCGUGGUCCUGCAGGAAAGUCCAGACAAGACGGCAGUCCUGGGACACCUAGUGGGCUUCACAGGGAAAGUUGGCAUGCAGGGUCCCCAAGGGCCAGUGGGCAUGUAUGGCUACUCUGGAGCCGUGGGUUUAACUGGGAGACCUGGUCAUUUUGGAGAGAGGGGAGAACCUGGUGUGAGAGGUACCGCCGGUAUCCCUGGGAAGAGUGGACCACCGGAAAGUACACUAUACUGACAUUCACAUUGUGGAGAAAAUAGUCUAAACUGAUACUGGUGUAAAUUGAUACAUAGGCAUGAUUUUGAGCUGUCUUACAGGGAUUGAAGGCACCUCAUGGCGAGAGAGGUCCAAAUGGACCUCAGGGCCGUCAAGGAGAGACUGGACCCAAUGGCAUACAGGGAUCAUCCGGUCGUCCAGGCCUCCCAGGGCUGGAGGGCAGGACAGGGAAGCCAGGCCCUUCAGGAAACCAGGGGCUUGUGGGGGCACAGGGGUCAGCUGGGCCCAUCGGGUUUCCAGGCACUCCUGGGAUGGAUGGUGUGAUGGGGCAGGUUGGAGAAAAAGGAGAACAGCAGGGCCUGUUGGGGACAGUGGGCCAUCUGGACUAGACGGACAGCAGGUGGGCAGCAGUGGAUCUGGGUGUCUGUUCUUAGAUGUACCCAUCCACCUUCAAUAUGACUGGUGUUGUAUGAUAUGCCACACUUUCCAUGGUGGUAAGUGUGGCAUAUCUUGCAAUAGCAAUUGUACUAUUAUGGCUAACAUUGAUGACCAUGUUUAAUAUUCACACCAGGGACAGUUGGUGAGGAGGGGCUGUCUGGGGAAAAGGGGGAAAGGGGGAACAAGUCAAUAACUGGGUUUCAUCCCUUUUUCAUCCCUUUUACGGGUGGAGAUUAUAAGAGAACAUGGCCAACAUGUUCAAAUGUUCAUAAAUGACCAGCAUGGUCAAGUAAUAAUAAUCACAGUGGUUGUCGAGGGUGCAGCAAGUCAGCACCU